UUGCGUGCUUGCGCCCUCCAGC
rnacentral:misc_RNA from 1 species